rnacentral:rRNA from 1 species
AUUGAACGCUGGCGGCAGGCCUAACACAUGCAAGUAGAGCGGGGCGGUUGACGGGUGAGUGAUGCCUAGGUAUCUGCCUUGUCGCGUGGGAUAACGUCCGGAAACGGGCGCUUAUACCGCAUACUAACAGCUGCGCCUUGGUCGGAUUCGCCAGUUGGUGGGGUAAAGGCCUACCAAGGCGACGAUCCGUAACUGGUCGGAGAGGAUGAUCAGGCACACUGGAACGGAGACACGGCCCAGACUCCGAGGGGAGGCAGCAGUGGGAAAGAUUGGACAUGGGGCGAAAGCCUGAUCCAUCAAUGCCGCGUAGGUGAGGAAGGUCUUCGGAUUGUAAAGCACGUUAAGUUGGGAGGCGUUACCAACAGAAUAAGCACCGGCUAACUUCGUGCCAGCAGCCGCGGUAAUUC